rnacentral:rRNA from 1 species
ACGGAGGGUGCAAGCAUUAAUCGGAUUUACUGGGCGUAAAGGGCGCGUAGGCGGUUAUACAAGUCAGCUGUGAAAUAUCUGGGCUCAACCCGGAGACUGCAGGUGAGACUGUAUAGCUAGAGGGUAAGUGGGGAAAAUGGAAUUCCACGUGUAGCGGUGAAAUGCGUAGAUAUGUGGAAGAACACCGGAGGCGAAGGCGGUUUUCCAAUUUAUUCCUGACGCUGAGGCGCGAAAGCAAGGGGAGCAAACAG